GCAAGUGAACACAUUACUAUCUGGUUUAAAUAUUCCUCCUGUGAGCCAUUGUAUGAUGUCAGCUAGGCAAAAGGAUGUUGGAGUUGCACUACAAGAAGUAGCAAAAGAAACAGUAGAUCAAGCCCUGUGUGAGGAAGUAGAGUUAACUAAAAGAAAUAAAGACCAAGAUAGUAUAACAGCUGCUGUAGAUGCGGGAUGGCAAAUGAGGGGCAGUGGAAGGUCUUAUAACAGUUUGUCUGGUCAUUGUUCUAUGAUAGGUACCGAAACUGGAAAAAUAGUUA